rnacentral:rRNA from 1 species
UACGUAGGGUGCGAGCGUUGUCCGGAAUUAUUGGGCGUAAAGAGCUCGUAGGCGGCUCAGUAAGUCGGGUGUGAAACCUCCAGGCUCAACCUGGAGACGCCACCCGAUACUGCUGUGGCUAGAGUCCAGUAGGGGAGUGUGGAAUUCCCGGUGUAGCGGUGAAAUGCGCAGAUAUCGGGAGGAACACCAGCGGCGAAGGCGGCACUCUGGGCUGGUACUGACGCUGAGGAGCGAAAGCGUGGGUAGCAAACGGG